GUGGAAGGCAGUUGAUUAUGGGGGUGGUUUCCCCAUGCUGUUCUCAUGAUAGUGAGUGAGUUCUCAUGAGAUUUGACAGUUUAUAACGGACAUUUCCCCGCUUUGCUUGACACUUCUCCAUUGUGCUGCCAUAUGAAGAAGGACGUGUUUGCUUCCCCUUCCACCAUGAUUUUUAGUUUACUGAGACCUUCCCAACCCUGCAGAACUGAAGUUCAAGCUGCUAGAUGGACAGGUCAAAUGAAGAAACAGAUGCCUGACCACUACUAAGCUGUAACUGAUACUGCAGUUGAGAUACAAGAUGUGAAUCUAAAAGAAAUCACCUCGGAUGUCUAGCCCUGUCCUCAAAUAAUUUCAGCUCGGCUGUCUCAUGACUACAACCAUACAAGAAACCCCAACAGCCAACAUAUGGAAACAACCUAAAUGUCUGUCGACAGGUGAAUGAAUAAAGAAAAUGUGGUAUAUACAUACAGCAGAAUAUUGUUCAGUCUUAAAAAAGAAGGAAACCUUACAAUAUGCAGCAUCAUGAAUGAACAUGGAGGACAUUAUGCUAAAUGAAAUAAGCCAGUCACAGAAGGAACAGACACUGCCUGAUUCCAAUCGUAGGAGAUAACUAGUAUUGUCAAAUUUAUAAAAUUGACAAGAGAAUGGUAGUUGCUAGUGGGUGAGCAGAGGGGAAGAUGAGGAGUUAUUGUUGAAUGUGUAUAAAGUUUUAAUUAUGCAAGAUGAGUAAGUUCUAGCGAUCUAUUGUACAACCUUGUGCCUAUAGUUAACAAUGAUGUAUUGUGGAUGUAAAAAUUUGUUAAAGAGGAUACAUCUCAUAUUGUUUUCUUACCACAGUAAAAAAAAAAAGAAACAAAUAAACAAGAAUGUAUAUAGUACUGAAAACUGUAUGUCUGAUGAUUAAAAAUUAAGAAUAUCCUCAAUACCACAUAAUUUACACAAUAGAUACAAAAGGUGUUGGCAACAAAGCAUGUCUGUCAACUUGGCUUAAAUUUUAAUCAUAAUCUCUCAAAGUCUUGAGAGAAGGCUAUGUUUUGUUCGUGUCAUUGUUAUUGUUGUUGUUUGACUCUAAAGAAUAAAUGAGAUCUUGGUAAAUUUUUGUUAUAUGCAAUACGUAUCUAAGGAACUACAAAAAUCAACUUCUAUUACUCUUGCCUAAUUCUUUCUUAGUACAUGAUUAGAUCUGUGUAGUACUUCAUUGAUCGUCUGCUGUGUAGGCAGCAUAGGCUCAAUGUUUAUUGAAUGCAGAUUUACG
rnacentral:lncRNA from 10 species